rnacentral:rRNA from 1 species
AUGUGGGGCGAGAGGGCUCAUCACAGGCAUGGGCACCAUCACGACCACGUUCCGUCCGGGGGUUCCAGGGACCGGCAGCCCAAGUUCAUAGCAGACAACUACAGCUCGGUGGAUGAGGUCAUCGCUGCAUUGAGAGAAGCUGGGCUUGAAUCAUCAAAUCUAAUUCUUGGCAUCGACUUCACCAAAAGCAAUGAAUGGUCAGGUAGGCAUUCCUUUGGAAGAAAAUCUCUGCAUGCCAUUAGUGGUACCCCAAAUCCAUAUGAGCAAGCCAUCUCUAUAAUUGGGCGGACACUAUCACCUUUUGAUGAUGAUAACUUGAUACCAUGCUUUGGAUUUGGUGAUGGACCAACUUCUUUUGCACCUCUUAUCUACGCGGCGAUGUCAGUUGUCGAAAGCAGUAACUGCCAAUACCAUGUCCUCGUCAUCAUAGCUGAUGGACAGGUGACCACCUCAACUUCAGGUGGAAGAUUAAGUCCACAAGAACAGGCGACUAUACAAGCAAUUGUUGACGCUAGCUUCUAUCCUCUUUCAAUUGUGAUGGUGGGGGUGGGCGAUGGGCCAUGGGAUGCAAUGCAGCAUUUUGAUGACUGUAUUCCUGAUAGAGCUUUUGAUAAUUUCCAGUUCGUGAACUUUACUGGUCUCAUGUCAGCAAGCAAGGAUAUCUCGAAGAAGGAGGCCGCAUUUGCGCUUGCAGCGCUGAUGGAAAUACCCACUCAAUACAAAGCGACUCAAGGCCUCCGACCUCCAGAGAGGCAUGCACAAAACGCCAACCCUCCGAGGAUCCUUCCCCCUCCCAGCAAAGUUCUUGAAUAUGACAAUAUUGUCGCAGCUUCUCAUACUCCAGCCGCAACCUCGCAGUCAACCGACAUUGGCUACACCGUUUCGGAUGAAAAGGUAUGUCCCAUCUGCUUAACGAAUCCAAAGGACAUGGCUUUCCAAUGUGGCCAUCUGACAUGCAAGGAAUGCGGGCCGACGCUAUCGACAUGCCCCUUGUGCCGUGCGCCGAUUACUGUCCGUGUAAGGCUCUUUUCGUAA